UACGUAGGGUGCGAGCGUUAAUCGGAAUUACUGGGCGUAAAGUGUGCGCAGGCGGCCGCGCAUGUCGAGUGUGAAAGCCCCGGGCUUAACUUGGGAAUUGCGCUCGAAACUACGUGGCUGGAGUGUGGCAGAGGAAGGUGGAAUUCCACGUGUAGGCGGAUGAAAUGCGUAGAGGAAUGUGGAGGAAACACCAAUGGCGGAAGGCAGGACCGU
rnacentral:rRNA from 1 species